GAAUUACAUGCCCUUCAGUGGGGAAUAGCCCAGGGAAACUUGGAUUAAUACCCCAUGGUAUCGCAAGAUUAAAGGUGGCCGCAAGGCUGUCGCUGAAGGAUUGGUUCGCGCCCUAUCAGCUUGUUGGUGAGGUAACGGCUCACCAAGGCUACGACGGGUACCUGGUCUGAGAGGACGAUCAGGCACACUGGAACUGAGACACGGUCCAGACACCUACGGGUGGCAGCAGUCGAGAAUAAUUCACAAUGGGGGCAACCCUGAUGGUGCAACGCCGCGUGGAGGAUGACGGUCUUCGGAUUGUAAACUCCUGUCAUCCGGGAGUAAGACCUGGCUGUGAAUAGCAGACAGGGUUGAUAGUACCGGAAGAGGAAGGGACGGCUAACUUCGUGCCAGCAGCCGCGGUAAUACGAAGGUCCCGAGCGUUGUUCGGAAUCACUGGGCGUAAAGGGAGCGUAGGCGGCGUGGUAAGUCAGAUGUGAAAUCCCGGGGCUCAACCCCGGAACUGCAUCCGAUACUGCCGUGCUAGAGGAUUGGAGAGGUAGCUGGAAUUCUUGGU
rnacentral:rRNA from 1 species